UAGGGAAUCUUCGGCAAUGGGGCAACCCUGACCGAGCAACGCCGCGUGAGUGAAGAAGGUUUUCGGAUCGUAAAGCUCUGUUGUAAGUCAAGAACGAGUGUGAGAGUGGAAAGUUCACACUGUGACGGUAGCUUACCAGAAAGGGACGGCUAACUACGUGCCAGCAGCCGCGGUAAUACGUAGGUGGCAAGCGUUAUCCGGAUUUAUUGGGCGUAAAGAGAGUGCAGGCGGUUUUCUAAGUCUGAUGUGAAAGCCUUCGGCUUAACCGGAGAAGUGCAUCGGAAACUGGAUAACUUGAGUGCAGAAGAGGGUAGUGGAACUCCAUGUGUAGCGGUGGAAUGCGUAGAUAUAUGGAAGAACACCAGUGGCGAAGGCGGCUACCUGGUCUGCAACUGACGCUGAGACUCGAAAGCAUGGGUAGCGAACAGGAUUAGAUACCCUGGUAGUCCAUGCCGUAAACGAUGAGUGCUAGGUGUUGGAGGGUUUCCGCCCUUCAGUGCCGGAGCUAACGCAUUAAGCACUCCGCCUGGGGAGUACGACCGCAAGGUUG
rnacentral:rRNA from 1 species